CUACGGGCCGCUCCAGUCGAGGAAAUUUUACAAUGCUCGAAAGAGUGAUAAAAUAAACCAGAGUGUUUCUCCUAGAGAAACUUUUGUAUGUUGUAAAAGGACAUGCGAAUAAGGACUGGGCAAGACCGGUGCCAGGCCGCCGCGGUAAUACCGGCGGUCCAAGUCGCAUCCACAUUUAUUGGGUCUAAAACAUUCGUAGCUUGUUUUGCAAGUCUCUUGUGAAAUCCUAUAUCUCAAAUAUAGGGCGGGCAAGAGAUACUGCUUUACUAGAGACCGGAAGACGUAAGGAGUACGAUUAAGGUAGCGGUAAAAUGUGUUAAUCUUUGUCGGACUAACAAUGGCGAAGGCACCUUACGAGUACGGAUCUGACAGUGAGGAAUGAAGGCUAGGGGCGCAAAACGGAUUAGAUACCCCAGUAGUC
rnacentral:rRNA from 1 species